rnacentral:rRNA from 1 species
UACGAGGGGGGCGAGCGUUGUUCGGAAUUAUUGGGCGUAAAGGGCGCGUAGGCGGCGUAACAAGUCACUUGUGAAAUCUCCGGGCUUAACCCGGAGCGGCCAAGUGAUACUGUUGUGCUAGAGUGCGGAAGGGGCUACUGGAAUUCUCGGUGUAGCGGUGAAAUGCGUAGAUAUCGCUUGGAACGCCAAAGGUGAAAACAGGUUGCUGGGGUUGUGCCGACGCUGAGACACGAAAGCCAGGGGAGCAAACGGG